rnacentral:tRNA from 2 species
GGUUGCAUGGUGUAGUGGUUAACAUAUCUGCUUUACAUGCAGAAGAUCCUGGGUUUGAUCCCCAGUGGAGCCA